UUAAAUUGAAGAGUUUGAUCAUGGCUCAGAUUGAACGCUGGCGGCAGGCCUAACACAUGCAAGUCGAACGGUAACAGGAAGCAGCUUGCUGCUUUGCUGACGAGUGGCGGACGGGUGAGUAAUGUCUGGGAAACUGCCCGAUGGAGGGGGAUAACUACUGGAAACGGUAGCUAAUACCGCAUAACGUCGCAAGACC
rnacentral:rRNA from 1 species